UCCUGCCAGUAGUCAUAUGCUUGUCUCAAAGAUUAAGCCAUGCAAGUCUGAGUAUAAUUGUUUUACGGUGAAACUGCGAAUGGCUCAUUAAAUCAGUUAUAGUUUAUUUGAUGCUAUAGGUCGAAAGGCCACUACAUGGAUAUCUGUAGUAACAUAGAGCUAAUACAUGCAAUAUAGUCUGACUUUUUGGAAGGACUAGCACUUAUUAGAUAUUAAACCAAUCCCAGCAAUGGGUUUCUUGGUGAUUCAUAGUAACUGAACAAAUCACAUAGUCUUGUACUGGUGAUGUUUCAUUCAAAUUUCUGCCCUAUCAACUAGAUGGUAGUAUAUAGGACUACCAUGGUUGUAACGGGUAACGGAGGAUUAGGGUUUGAUUCCGGAGAAGGAGCAUGAGAAACGGCUACUAUUUCUAAGGAAAGCAGCAGGCGCGCAAAUUAUUCAAUGGAAACAAUUUUCCGAAAUAGUGACAAAAAAAUAUACAAUGACUAGAUACUAUGUAUUUAGUUAA
rnacentral:rRNA from 1 species